GACGAACGCUGGCGGCGUGCUUAACACAUGCAAGUCGAACGGAAAGGCCCUGCUUUUGUGGGGUGCUCGAGUGGCGAACGGGUGAGUAACAAGUGAGUAACCUGCCCUUGACUUUGGGAUAACUUCAGGAAACUGGGGCUAAUACCGGAUAGGAGCUCCUGCUGCAUGGUGGGGGGUGGAAAGUUUCGGCGGUUGGGGAUGGACUCGCGGCUUAUCAGCUUGUUGGUGGGGUAGUGGCUUACCAAGGCUUUGACGGGUAGCCGGCCUGAGAGGGUGACCGGCCACAUUGGGACUGAGAUACGGCCCAGACUCCUACGGGAGGCAGCAGUGGGGAAUAUUGCACAAUGGGCGGAAGCCUGAUGCAGCAACGCCGCGUGCGGGAUGACGGCCUUCGGGUUGUAAACCGCUUUCGCCUGUGACGAAGCGUGAGUGACGGUAAUGGGUAAAGAAGCACCGGCUAACUACGUG
rnacentral:rRNA from 1 species